CUACACACGAGUUUGAUCCUGGCUCAGGAUGAACGCUAGCGGCAGGCUUAAUACAUGCAAGUCGUGGGGCAGCAAGGGUAGCAAUACCUGUUGGCGACCGGCAAACGGGUGAGGAACAUGUACGCAACCUUCCUUUAACUGGAGAAUAGCCCCUCGAAAGAGGGAUUAAUACUCCGUAACAUAAUGAAGUGGCAUCACUUUAUUAUUAUAGCUCCGGCGGUUAAAGAUGGGCGUGCACCUGAUUAGAUAGUAGGCGGGGUAACGGCCCACCUAGCCGACGAUGCCUAGGGGUUCUGAGAGGAAGGUCCCCCACACUGGAACUGAGACACGGUCCAGACUCCUACGGGAGGCAGCAGUGAGGAAUAUUGGUCAAUGGACGAGAGUCUGAACCAGCCAAGUAGCGUGCAGGAUGACGGCCCUCUGGGUUGUAAACUGCUUUUAGUUGGGAAUAAAAAGAGGGACGUGUCCCUUAUUGUAUGUACCAUCAGAAAAAGGACCGGCUAAUUCCGUG
rnacentral:rRNA from 1 species